rnacentral:lncRNA from 1 species
UUCGUAUUUGUGUGUAUUUCUUGAAAUUAAAUUUUGUGAUAUGGGGGUCUUAUAUUCCUUCAUAUUUUUAUGAUUGUUUAAGUGAAACUUUAAUUGUGUGUAGAGUGAAGUAUAUAUAUAUAUAUGUCUUAUUUCUUUCAUUUUUUAGGUGAUUAAUUGAAAAAUAUACUUGUGCGUGUGUGUACGCCUAUGAAAUGCUUAAUUAUUUCUUUUCAUAUUUAUCUGAUUCUUGAAAUUAAACCAUUUUUAUUAUAAUAUUCAAAUCUAAUAAUUUAUAAUAAUUUUCAUUAUUAAUUUGAUGAAUUUUGUGCAACGAAUAGUACCCGGUCCAUUUCACUACACAUGUUGAUUCUAUUGUAGAAACAUAUAGAAGAA